rnacentral:rRNA from 1 species
CGCACGGGUGAGUAACACUAUGCAACCUGCCUGCCACAGCCGGAUAAUCGGGAGAAAUUCCGUCUAAUACGGCAUAAUGCAUCGACGGGACAUCCUGUUGGUGCCAAAGGUUAAUUCCGGUGGCGGAUGGGCAUGCGUCGCAUUAGUUAGUUGGCGGUGUAACGGACCACCAAGACGACGAUGCGUAGGGGGUUCUGAGAGGAAGGUCCCCCACACUGGUACUGAGACACGGACCAGACUCCUACGGAAGGCAGCAG